rnacentral:lncRNA from 1 species
GAGGAGCGAGCGCGAGGCCGGCGUGGGAGGAGAGCGCGCUCUGGCAGCGGCGGAUCCACGCUGCUCCCGGGCCCUUCUCUGCGACCCUGCAGCUCGCUGUCGCCUGCCUGCUGGCCCCUGCUCCUGGAGCCCGGUUCGGGCGUUAUGCCCAGGAGGUCCAGCUAGAAAGGCAGGGCCGUAUCCGCCCGCGUUAGGCUGUCUGCAGGUCCGAGCUGGGGGCCCUGUUGGCACUUGGGUUGGGUGGUUAGGCUUCUGCGGUGGAGCCUGCCCUGUGCUUGGAGCUACGUGUGGGUCCUGAUUUCUGGUCCUUCGUCGUGAAAGACUCAUACGUGGGGUUAGGGAGUCGCAAAGUGGGCGGGUGGCGGAGUCGCGAGUGGAAGAGCAGAACGUGGCGCAGCCGCUUGCCUCUGGAGAGGCCCCUCCUACUGCCUCGGUGCGGAUGGCGCCCCCUAGGGCUGAGCCGAGUCUCAGCGCCGACUUGGCCGAGCACUUAGGCGCCAUCUAUUAUUAGUCUUAGUAAAUCCUUCAAGGCUACUACUGUGUUCUACUUAACAUGGUCUACGAGGUCAACUACAUGUCAAGUCCAGCGUGACUCUCCCAAACUCAUGGUCAAAACACAAGCCAAAGAGUGGUUUCCUUUUUGGUCAGAAGGCGUUGAGUCCAUGGUUGGAAACCUGUGGGAUUCAUCCGUAGGCACAGGUGUACGUUGAAUAUUAUUUCGUUCCUUCUCAAGUUUAGGUUGUUACCAGAGAUGGCAUAUGAAAUUGCAAAUGGCAAGCUCAGGCAAGGCCACGGGACUGACGAUUGGUACAUUACAAGGACAGCCUUGCCGGGAAGGGAGUGGAAGACCCCAGCUUCUCUGGUACCGCAGGGUUCCUGGUUUCCAUGGCAACUCCCCAUCUGAAAUUAUUGCCAAUCAAGAUACUAUUACACCUGAUACUUCUCUCCAGUGUAUCACCUUUGCAGGAGUCAAGGCCUAAUCCACUAAGCUAAAACAGCUAGGUCCAGAGGGAAUUGAUAUUUCCUCAUGGCUUCUCAGUGUGUAUUCAGGUCCAGACCAGAGAACCCAGGUCAAGGAGGAACUCCAUAAAUAGAAGAAAGAGUCCCUGUCCCGUUACCAUGGAGACACGGAACAGCAUAUGCUAACUU